CUCUGCAAGGAAUGACUUGUGGGGAUGUGCAGCGAGUGUGAAGAGAAUUUGGGAAAAUCAAGUAUCCGCCGCAAGGGUCAAUCUUACAACUGAGACAGCAAUUGUAUGGCCUGUUUCUGAAGCCAAGGCUAUACCUAAUUGGCAAAAGGCGUUGGGGAUAAACACUUGCAAAUCACUCAGACAAAUUGUGGCUUAAGUCUAACCACAAGUAUCUGCCACCAGCGUCAAUCUGACAACCAGGAUAGCAGUUGUAUGGCCAGUAUCUGAAGCCAAGGAUGGCAAAAAGUGUUGGGAGAAACACUUGCAGAAGACUUGACAAAUUUUGCCUUUAUGUCUAACCCUCGACAUAAGUAGUUUUAUUCACCAUCUGCUUGUUGCAUCUGAAUGAGGUUUGGCUGACAUUUGUGAA